UUUUGAUUUGUAUCUUCCUUUUUAAUUCUUUUGCCAUUCUAAAGAACCACACCAUCAAUAUUUUGAUGGCUGUCCCAUUUAAUUGCAUAUGACAUCAGGCAUUCUAUGCAUUAAGUAUAACCUUGCCUGUCUCUGUGUCCAAUUAUAAUCGAAAAUGGCACAAAACCUCACCAUUACUCCACAUCAUCAUGCUGCCUAAUGGGACAAUGUAGAUGAGAUUAAUGAACAAUUUGGAUUUUCCCAUGAACCAUAACAUGCGAAUGCUUUAAAUAUUUUUCAUUCGAAUCUGUAUUAUUCAAUUAAAGCUCUACAAUUGUGA
rnacentral:sRNA from 1 species